AUUGAACGCUGGCGGCAGGCCUAACACAUGCAAGUCGAGCGGAAACGACACUAACAAUCCUUCGGGUGCGUUAAUGGGCGUCGAGCGGCGGACGGGUGAGUAAUGCCUAGGAAAUUGCCUUGAUGUGGGGGAUAACCAUUGGAAACGAUGGCUAAUACCGCAUAAUGCCUACGGGCCAAAGAGGGGGAUCUUCGGACCUCUCGCGUCAAGAUAUGCCUAGGUGGGAUUAGCUAGUUGGUGAGGUAAUGGCUCACCAAGGCGACGAUCCCUAGCUGGUCUGAGAGGAUGAUCAGCCACACUGGAACUGAGACACGGUCCAGACUCCUACGGGAGGCAGCAGUGGGGAAUAUUGCACAAUGGGCGAAAGCCUGAUGCAGCCAUGCCGCGUGUAUGAAGAAGGCCUUCGGGUUGUAAAGUACUUUCAGUUGUGAGGAAGGGGGUGUCGUUAAUAGCUGCACAUCUUGACGUUAGCAACAGAAGAAGCACCGGCUAACUCCGUGCCAGCAGCCGCGGUAAUACGGAGGGUGCGAGCGUUAAUCGGAAUUACUGGGCGUAAAGCGCAUGCAGGUGGUUCAUUAAGUCAGAUGUGAAAGCCCGGGGCUCAACCUCGGAACUGCAUUUGAAACUGGUGAACUAGAGUGCUGUAGAGGGGGGUAGAAUUUCAGGUGUAGCGGUGAAAUGCGUAGAGAUCUGAAGGAAUACCAGUGGCGAAGGCGGCCCCCUGGACAGACACUGACACU
rnacentral:rRNA from 1 species